rnacentral:lncRNA from 1 species
AGAGUGGCAUGGCUGUCCUCGGAUCCACGUGCGUGCAUGGCGUGUCUCUGCCCCAGAGGAGGCUCUUCCUGCAGCUUCUGGGGCCCUGGGACAGUGGCCUCGGACACCCUCUGAGGGCUUUGGCUUUUCGGAGCCCUGCGUGUCUGGGGGCAGCACUGUUUGCCUGCUGAUCCUUCAGAAUCCCCGGCUGCUCCACAGUGCUCACAGCCGAGAGCAGAGGCUGCCUGGGCUCUGGUUGCGCAGCAGUGGGCGCUCGUCCCCUUCCUGUCCGGGCCCCCCGACAUCACCUCUGGCCUUCUGCACCCUCGCUGUAGAUUGGCUUUCCAACUCCACCCCCCAAAAAGACGGGCCGUAGUGGGGGCUUCCAGGAGCACCAGGCCAGGGGUGCUUUGCCCAGGACCAGAGUGGGGACUAACCGGGCCAGUGGUGAAAAAUAUAAUUAGCCUGUCAGUGUGGAGUCUUCCCUCACUGCUCUGCUCACCGCCGGCCCCUGAGCCAGCCUGUUUCUUAGGACCCCUGACCCAGAAACCUGGUCCAGCAGCCCCCUUACUCAGCGCUCGGCCCGGCCAGGGCCUCAUCUGCUCCCUGCCCUCACAGCAGCCUGAGGCACGGCCGGUCCCUGAGCACCUCUCUCCGCACUCACCGGCCCAGGAAGGCACUGCUGACUCAGGGACUCCGUCCUCCAAGGACCAUGUUUCCUGGCCUUGGACGCAGCUGUGACCAGGCACUCAGGGCCCACUGGGACAGAUGUGCACCGACUUCAUGCAGCUUCCCAAGAUCCCGGCGGCAGAGGGGGAACAAGGAGGGUCCCCUACCCCCUGCAAGCAUCCGGCUUCCUCUGGGUCUGCAGCCUCAUGAACAGGGCUCUCUCCAGCUGGGGGUGCACUCAUCUGUGUUCCCACACCCGGGCCGUGGGCCGCCC